UGAUAUUCUUGGUGGGAUCCGUUUGUUAGUAACGGGCCGAAGAUAAGGUGGACGGGUUCCUCAUCUUGAUCCUAAUCGGUUCCAGUCGUUUUUGAAAAAGAAAAAGGAGAAGAACGUUGGACGUUCUAGGGUUUCGAAGGAGGAUGUGGGGCAGGCUGCUCAGUUUAUUGCUCAGCCAGAGUUAUCAUAUAAGAG